rnacentral:ncRNA from 1 species
UAAUAGGCGAUGGAGUUCGCCAUUAAAUGCUUAGACGCUAAUGACUCCUACUCU